CAGAAGGUAUAGUAUCCAAAUAACAUGAGUUCCAGAGAGAGAGAGAAGAGAAAACAAAGGGGAGGAAAUUAUCAAUGAAAUCACGUAAGAAAAUUUCCCACAACUGAAGGACAUGAACUUCCAUAUUGAAAAGGCCUAGAAAAUUCCCUGAGCAAUGAAUACAAAAGGGACCACACUAGGAUACAUCAUUGUGAAAUUUCAGAAAGCCAAGAAUUUAAAAAAAGACCCUCAAAGUUUCCCAAGGGUGGGAAUUAGAAGAGCAAUGGGCAUUUUGGCAGCAAUCCUUUGGAAGCCAGAAUAAAAUGCAUUAAGUGUUCAAAAUUCCUCCUGAGAGUUAUUUAUAGCCUAGGAUGCUACAUCCAGUCAGAUAUGAGAGAAGAAUAGAGCUAUUUUCAUAUGUGCAAGACCUCAAAUAUUUACCUUUCGUGUAAAUUCAUGAGUUCUCAGGCAGUGGUUAGAGGAGAUAGUCCACUAAAAUGAGGACUAACCCAAGCUGGAGAAGACUUGGCUUCCAUGAACAGGGGACCCGACACGGGAGCCAGGUGGAAAGGAGGCUCGGGAUGCCAGCUCUGCAGCAGUCUUAGCACCAACCCACGUGGGAGGAGAAAGACGAGGAGCUCCAGGAUGAAUAACUCCAUGAAGAAAUGGAUUGAUGACCUAUGUUCGCAAAGGUAAUAUUCUGUUUGGUAUACCCUCUCUAUGGAUUCUAGCGCAGGCUUCCAGAAUUCAAUUGGGAUAAGGUUAAAAGUUUCAGUUCAAAACUGAAGUUUUCUCUGAAGCUGAGUUUCAGAAAUCAGG